rnacentral:rRNA from 1 species
CACGCCGUAAACGUUGAGAACUAAGUGUUGGGGAGACCCAGUGCUGAAGCUAACGCAUUAAGUUCUCCGCCUGAGGAGUACGCACGCAAGUGUAAAACUUAAAGGAAUUGACGGGGGCCCGCACAAGCAGUGGAGCACGUGGUUUAAUUCGAGGCUACGCGAAGAACCUUACCAGGGCUUGACAGGAAACUUAAGACCCUAGAGAUAGGGGGAUAAUAAGUGAAACAGGUGG